UUUUUUUUCCUACCCUGGGAUACACCCUCCCUCCUGUGUUUUGUUUCCUCUGUUAGGCUGAGCCGCGACUCUCAUGGAAAUUGAGAGCACUCGAUUGUAUAUACAAUAUAUACAAAUAUAUUCGGGACCAGUACAAACCUUUAUCUGGAAAUCCAUUCAUAAACAGGGCUAUACAUAGGACAUGAGGUCACACAUUUAGGCUGGAAGAAAGGAGAUUUCAUCUAAGGCAAAGAAAAGGUUUUUUUACAGUAAGAGCAAGAAGGAUAUGGAAUUCUCUGCCUGAAGAGGUGAUUUUGUCAGAGAAUUUUUAUACAGAUGUUUAAACUGAAAUUGGAUAAAUACUUGCAAAAACAUAACAUACAGGGAUGUAAUUUCUAAUUAGUGGGGUAAUAGCUGCUUGAUCCAAGGAGACAUCUGACUGAUAUUUUGGCUUCAAGAAGGAAUUUUUUCCUAGUAUGUUGCAAAAUUGGAAGCGCUUCAGACUAGGUUUUUUGCCUUCUUUUGGAUCAACAGCAAAGACAUAUGUGAGGAAGGCUGAAAUUGAUUUUUCAGCUAUGUAACUAUGUAACUAUGAUUGGGAUGCACUGACUUUCCUUCCCGAGGGUAUCUCUUUUGACAUCACGUGGAAGAUGAUCAACUAUCAAGACUGUUUUCUACCUGAGUUUUGCAAACAAGCCAGCAUUGUGCCCAGUUGCAUGUCUUAAAUCCUACUUGGACCGUACAUGCUCUCUUCAUACCCCAAAUCAACACCAGCUCUUCAUAUCAUUUAAACCUCAU